rnacentral:lncRNA from 1 species
AGUCCUGUUCCAACGAGCUUGCACUCUAACUAGGCGAGACAGCCAGUGAGACACGAAUUGUUUCCUUUUCUCUUUACAGGCAGGCAAUAGAAGCGCAAAUUGGGUGGCUUGCUGAGAGCACGUAGGAAUGGCCAUGCUAGUGAUGGAGGGAAAAUCCAGAUCUCCCAAGUACCAGGCCAGCAUCUCCAUAAAAGAUCAUCCUUCUGUAUGGUUUCUGCCCUGGUUCCUGCAUGACGCUCAGCUCUCCUGUGCCUGAAGCGGAGCCUGUGCUUGGGACAAUGCACGCAGCAGCUGAUGGAGAAUGCACCAGGAAUUUGGGGGUGCUCAGGAUCCUUAAGUGUUUGCCAAGCUGCUAAGAGAGGGAGGGUCUGGCUGGCCAACCCUCUGAAGUGGUGGCAGAAGAGAAGGCAAGUGAGCCGGCCUGAGCAGCUGAGGCACCAGGUCAGCACUGGCAAUCCGCAUGUUAACCACAGGAAGGGAGAGGAUGGUGGCCUAGUGCUUCAGGUACAACCAGGUACGGGCUCUUUACGGUCUGUCCACUGGCAUCUAAAGCAGUACGUGUUGUUGAGUAGCAGCUCUGUGGUCGUUCUGAACCCUGGGGACUGUGCCCAC